AAUCCUAGCUGCUCAUAUAUUUUUCAUCUGACGGUUAUGAUCCCCAACUCCUCCGUUGCUCCUCCUCCUCUCCUCUUCUCAAUUCCAGCGGCUCCAAACAACACCGGUGGGCAGCAGCAAAUGGCGAAGAGCCAGGCAGCCGUCGUCACCCCUCCUCUCAUUACCCCAUUCUCUUCGGCGGAGGCGUGGCGAGGAGCUGCCUUUUCUUCCUCCUUCCCUCUCCGCCUCCCUCUUCUCUUUUUUACAUAUCCUCAUUUCUUCUUCUCUCUCUCUCUCCGCUCCCGUCUUUUCUCUUCUCCAGGCGAGGAGAGCAGCGAGCAGCUCCACAAGCAAGGACAGCCAGCAGUCGGCGCCGCUCCAUCUCCCUCCGCCUCUCGUUCCUCUUCUUUUUGCAGGACCAGGAGCAGCAACAGCAAAACUUCGGCCAGCAGCUCCGACAACAGCAAGCAACCUCGAGAACACGCAAUAGAUGAACAGGCUCCGACCAGAAAUGGGAGGUAAAUCAACAGAUAAGGUGAAUUAUUUCAGAUCCAUUCCAGCGAUUUGAUUGUUUUGAAAGGUUUCAAACUUGAAGUUCAAGUUGAAGAUUAGCUAUGAAAAGAGACUACCUUGUCUAAUUUAUGUAUCUGAAUCUAUAUUUUCUUAUUUAUUUAUUUGGAUUUUUGUAAUAUUUGUAUAACUCUAAAGCACUUUCAUAUAUGAAAUAGAUUUAAGGAUCGCCUAAGGGGAGGGGAAUUAUAUGCUAA